GAUUUGUGAGUAAUUGAGAGUAAAUUUGAAAGUAAAGUUUCUCAGAAUUAGUGUAAGAUUUGAUUGAUGUGAGAGAUAAAAGAAUUUAUUUAAUUAAUAAAAAUUGAAGAUUACUAAAAUAUCUCUAAUUAUUAAAGUAGUAAAAUGAUAAAUGUUAAUAUUAUAUUUAAUUAUAAAAAUAUUUAUAAAAAGUAAAAAAAUUAAUGUUAAUAAUAAUAAUAAUAUAUUAUUUUAUUAUUAUUAUUAUUUAUU
rnacentral:lncRNA from 1 species